rnacentral:rRNA from 1 species
CAUGUCUUUUUGAUUAUAAUUUAAGGUUUGGUCUGCUCAAUGAGGAUUUAAAUUGCCGCGGUAUCUUGACCGUGCAAAGGUAGCAUAAUAAUUAGUUUUUUUAUUGGAAGCUAGAAUGAAUGAUUGGACGAGAAAACUGCUGUCUCUUUAUAAUUUUAAUUGAAUUUAACUUUUGAGUUAAAAGGCUCAAAUGUAUUUUAAAGACGAGAAGACCCUAUAGAGUUUUAUAUAUUUAUUUAUUAUGAUGUUUUUAGAAUUAGUUUAUUAUAUUAAAUUUUAUAUUUGGUUGGGGUGACUAAAAGAUAAAAUUAACUCUUUAAUUUUUAAAUCAAUGAUUUUUGAUUAAUAAAUCUGAUUUUUUCAAGUUUAAGAUAAAUUACCUUAGGGAUAACAGCGUAAUUUCUUUUUAGAGUUCUUAUUGAAAGAGAAGUUUGCGACCUCGAUGUUGGAUUAAAAUUUAUUUUUGGUGCAAAAGCUGAAAUAUUAAGUCUGUUCGACUUUUGAAAUUUUACAUGAUCUGAGU